rnacentral:rRNA from 1 species
CUACGGGCGGCUGCAGUGGGGAAUAUUGGACAAUGGGCGAAAGCCUGAUCCAGCCAUGCCGCGUGUGUGAAGAAGGCCUUCGGGUUGUAAAGCACUUUCAGUGGGGAAGAAAGCCUUGGGGCUAAUACCCUCGAGGAAGGACAUCACCCACAGAAGAAGCACCGGCUAACUCCGUGCCAGCAGCCGCGGUAAUACGGAGGGUGCGAGCGUUAAUCGGAAUUACUGGGCGUAAAGCGCGCGUAGGCGGUCUGAUAAGCCGGUUGUGAAAGCCCCGGGCUCAACCUGGGAACGGCAUCCGGAACUGUCAGGCUAGAGUGCAGGAGAGGAAGGUAGAAUUCCCGGUGUAGCGGUGAAAUGCGUAGAGAUCGGGAGGAAUACCAGUGGCGAAGGCGGCCUUCUGGACUGACACUGACGCUGAGGUGCGAAAGCGUGGGUAGCAAACAGGAUUAGAUACCCUAGUAGUC